rnacentral:rRNA from 1 species
UACGAAGGGGGCUAGCGUUGCUCGGAAUUACUGGGCGUAAAGGGAGCGUAGGCGGAUAGUUCAGUCAGAGGUGAAAGCCCAGGGCUCAACCUUGGAAUUGCCUUUGAUACCGGCUGUCUUGAGUAUGGGAGAGGUUAGCGGAACUCCGAGUGUAGAGGUGAAAUUCGUAGAUAUUCGGAAGAACACCAGUGGCGAAGGCGGCUCACUGGACCACAACUGACGCUGAUGCACGAAAGCUAGGGGAGCAAACAGG